rnacentral:lncRNA from 10 species
GAAUAUUUUCCCCACCGUCCACAUGUCCUAUCUGCCACUCUGCUCUGCCUCACACCCUAUAGGGCCCAGGCUCCCCUCCAGCUGUGACCUGUUCUCCCCUCCCUCCUCACCAAUUCUAUCCUCAAGCUUCAUCAGUGAACCAGACAUAAGGAACUUUCCAAUAGUACUAGUGUCCAAGGAAGAACUUCCUCCCUUCUCACUACUGCCAGCCAGGGUAGGACACAUCUGGGUUUCUUCUUAGACUCACUUGCAUUUCCCCAGUCCUAUAGUACAGACAACCUCAAAGAUUCCAAAAAGGGCAGUUUCAUAAAUAUGACACUUUAACAUGAACAGGAAUCUCCCUUUCUUGCAGGCCGGGAACCCUGAUGCUUUGGCACCCUAGACUGAUUUAAAAACAAGAGAUAGGCCGGGCGUGGUGGCUCACGCCUGUAAUCCCAGCACUUUGGGAGGCCAAGGUGGGCGGAUCACCUGAGGUCAGGAGUUCCAGACCAGCCUGGCCAACAUGGUGAAACCCCAUCUCUGCUAAAAAUACAAAAGAUUAGCUGGGCGUGGUGGCGGAUGCCUGUAAUCCCAGCUACUUGGGAGGCUGAGGCAGGAGAAUCGCUUGAACCGGAGAUUGCAGUGAGCCGAGAUCGCCACUGCACUCCAGCCUGGGCAACAAGAGCGAAACUCCGCCUCAAAAAAAACACACACAAAAAAACGAGAUAGCAGGGUGUGGUAGCAUGUGCCUGUCAUCCCAGCUACUGGGGAGGCUGAGGCAGGAGGAUCACUUGAGCCCAAGAGUUGCGGCUACAGUGAGCCAUGUUUG